rnacentral:rRNA from 1 species
UACGGAGGGAGCUAGCGUUGUUCGGAAUUACUGGGCGUAAAGCGCACGUAGGCGGCUUUGUAAGUCAGAGGUGAAAGCCCGGGGCUCAACCCCGGAACUGCCUUUGAAACUAGGUAACUAGAAUCUUGGAGAGGCGAGUGGAAUUCCGAGUGUAGAGGUGAAAUUCGUAGAUAUUCGGAAGAACACCAGUGGCGAAGGCGACUCGCUGGACAAGUAUUGACGCUGAGGUGCGAAAGCGUGGGGAGCAAACAGG